CCGAGAAGGCGGACAUUGCGCUGGCGCGCCGAAACAGCGGCGGCGGUACCGUUUACCACGACAACGGCAAUCUCAACCUGACGUUCUUCACUCCGCGUGAGCGGUACAAUCGGAAGUACAAUCUCAACAUCAUCACGAACGCCUUGUUUCGCCAGUGGGGCCUGAAGAGCGUGAUCAACGAACGCGAUGACAUUCUGAUCAAUGGAGACUGCAAGAUAUCUGGAACAGCUGCGAAGUUGGGAAAACCGAAUGCUUAUCAUCAUUGCACGCUCUUGGUCAACGUGAACAAAGCCAAUCUGAGUUCGAUUCUU